rnacentral:rRNA from 1 species
CCUANGGGAGGCUGCAGUGGGGAAUUUUGCGCAAUGGGCGAAAGCCUGACGCAGCAACGCCGCGUGGGUGAUGAAGGUCUUCGGAUCGUAAAACCCUGUCGUCAGGGACGAAGGUUUGGGCGUUAAUAGCGUUUAAGCUUGACGGUACCUGGAGAGGAAGCCCCGGCUAACUCUGUGCCAGCAGCCGCGGUAAUACAGAGGGGGCAAGCGUUAUUCGGAAUUAUUGGGCGUAAAGGGCGCGUAGGCGGCUUUUUAAGUGAGAUGUGUAAUCCCCGAGCUCAACUUGGGAACUGCAUCUCAUACUGGGAGGCUAGAGUACUGGAGAGGGUGGUAGAAUUCCACGUGUAGCGGUGAAAUGCGUAGAGAUGUGGAGGAAUACCAGUGGCGAAGGCGGCCACCUGGACAGUAACUGACGCUGAGGCGCGAAAGUGUGGGUAGCAAACAGGAUUAGAUACCCGGNUANUC